AUUGAACGCUGGCGGCAUGCUUUACACAUGCAAGUCGAACGGCAGCGCGGGCUUCGGCCUGGCGGCGAGUGGCGAACGGGUGAGUAAUGCAUCGGAACGUGCCCAGUAGUGGGGGAUAGCCCAGCGAAAGCCGGAUUAAUACCGCAUACGACCUGAGGGUGAAAGCGGGGGACCGAAAGGCCUCGCGCCAUUGGAGCGGCCGAUGUCGGAUUAGCUAGUUGGUGGGGUAAAGGCUUACCAAGGCGACGAUCCGUAGCUGGUCUGAGAGGACGACCAGCCACACUGGGACUGAGACACGGCCCAGACUCCUACGGGAGGCAGCAGUGGGGAAUUUUGGACAAUGGGGGCAACCCUGAUCCAGCCAUGCCGCGUGCGGGAAGAAGGCCUUCGGGUUGUAAACCGCUUUUGUUCGGGGAGAAAUCCUCUGGGCUAAUACCCCGGGGGGAUGACGGUACCGGAAGAAUAAGCACCGGCUAACUACGUG
rnacentral:rRNA from 1 species